CAAGAAGGCGGCAAAAAAAAUGGAAAAAAAUUUAUCAUCAUUGAAAAAAAAGCAUAUUUGAUUUUAGAAGACAGCUCGAGCAGAUGAAAUCACAAUUUACAUAGAGCUCAGAAGCAGGUAUAUAGUAACCUAAGCUACAAUCCAACCCAAACAGAAAUCCUCAAGGAGAGUUAAGAAACAAGGUUAUUAAGGCAUGACAGCAGAAGCCUCGCGUAUUUCAGAAAUUGCAACAACCUUAUAGAACUUCUCUAAUCAGAGCUCAUCAAAUAUUAUCAGGCUGCUACCUCCAAAACUAGUAUCUUCAAAGAACGGAGAUAUAAGGAAAGCACAUGACUAUUCUGUCAGUCAUUUAAAUUUCCAUACCACAGGACAAUCAAAUUCAAUAAAUUCAUUCAUAGUUGAUGAUUACUUGUUAUGUAAGAAGUACAAAGCAUAAAAACUUGCUUUUCCAUAGCGAAUGUUAGGUCAUAGCAUUCGAAAAAAGAAAAAAGCAAAAUCAGAGACCAAGUAAAUCAACCUGUGACAUGACUACUCGAUAGCUGUAAGAUUGAGUAGGAGCCCCGUGUAGGAAGACAAUUGUUCCCCGUCGACUCUCAGGUGGUCCAGUUUCUCUAACAAACCACGUAAACUUCCCAGAUUUUACAUAUGAACCAUAUUCCUUUCCCUUGUCUUCAAUCCUAUUGAGCAUUUGGCCAACAUUGCCGUCCUCAGCAGGGCUCUCAGGGAGCUGGAUGGCACUACGGCUGGAAGGGUUAUCUGUGACAAAACCAAAAGGAUUAAAUGCCGGGGCAUCAUCUUUGCCUUUGUCUUUGCUGCCUUCACAGUUUGUGGCAUUUGCUAUAAUUUUAGUUGCUCUUCUUAAGUGGUUUGUGUUGCUUAUUUUGGCGGCACAGGUUGCUAGAGGAGGAGGAAGAGGAGAGAGCAGAGCCCAUGCCAUUUGGUCUGCUUGUGUGCGUUUGUUUCUGCGGGGAGCUUUGAUUUUAAGACUGAACAGCC
rnacentral:misc_RNA from 1 species